AUGGAAGGCGGCUGCUAUACAUGCAGUCGAGCGAACAGACGAGGAGCUUGCUCCUCUGACGUUAGCGGCGGACGGGUGAGUAACACGUGGAUAACCUACCUAUAAGACUGGGAUAACUUCGGGAAACCGGAGCUAAUACCGGAUAACAUGUUGAACCGCAUGGUUCAACAGUGAAAGACGGUCUUGCUGUCACUUAUAGAUGGAUCCGCGCCGCAUUAGCUAGUUGGUAAGGUAACGGCUUACCAAGGCAACGAUGCGUAGCCGACCUGAGAGGGUGAUCGGCCACACUGGAACUGAGACACGGUCCAGACUCCUACGGGAGGCAGCAGUAGGGAAUCUUCCGCAAUGGGCGAAAGCCUGACGGAGCAACGCCGCGUGAGUGAAGAAGGUCUUCGGAUCGUAAAACUCUGUUAUUAGGGAAGAACAAAUGUGUAAGUAACUAUGCACGUCUUGACGGUACCUAAUCAGAAAGCCACGGCUAACUACGUGCCAGCAGCCGCGGUAAUACGUAGGUGGCAAGCGUUAUCCGGAAUUAUUGGGCGUAAAGCGCGCGUAGGCGGUUUUUUAAGUCUGAUGUGAAAGCCCACGGCUCAACCGUGGAGGGUCAUUGGAAACUGGAAAACUUGAGUGCAGAAGAGGAAAGUGGAAUUCCAUGUGUAGCGGUGAAAUGCGCAGAGAUAUGGAGGAACACCAGUGGCGAAGGCGACUUUCUGGUCUGUAACUGACGCUGAUGUGCGAAAGCGUGGGGAUCAAACAGGAUUAGAUACCCUGGUAGUCCACGCCGUAAACGAUGAGUGCUAAGUGUUAGGGGGUUUCCGCCCCUUAGUGCUGCAGCUAACGCAUUAAGCACUCCGCCUGGGGAGUACGACCGCAAGGUUGAAACUCAAAGGAAUUGACGGGGACCCGCACAAGCGGUGGAGCAUGUGGUUUAAUUCGAAGCAACGCGAAGAACCUUACCAAAUCUUGACAUCCUCUGACCCCUCUAGAGAUAGAGUUUUCCCCUUCGGGGGACAGAGUGACAGGUGGUGCAUGGUUGUCGUCAGCUCGUGUCGUGAGAUGUUGGGUUAAGUCCCGCAACGAGCGCAACCCUUAAGCUUAGUUGCCAUCAUUAAGUUGGGCACUCUAAGUUGACUGCCGGUGACAAACCGGAAGGAAGUGGGGGAUGACGUCAA
rnacentral:rRNA from 1 species